GAUGAACGCUGACAGAAUGCUUAACACAUGCAAGUCAACUGUGGCGGACGGGUGAGUAACGCGUAAAGAACUUGCCUCACAGCUAGGGACAACAUUUGGAAACGAAUGCUAAUACCUGAUACUGUGAGAGAGCUUUGCGUCCCAUUAGCUAGUUGGAGAGGUAACGGCUCACCAAGGCGAUGAUGGGUAGCCGGCCUGGGAGGGUGAUCGGUCACAAGGGGACUGAGAAACGGCCAGUAGGCCUAAGGGAGGAAGCAGUGCGGAAUAUUUGACAAUGGACCAAAGUAUGAUGCAGCAAUUCGGGGUGAAAGAUGAAGUUUUCGGAAUGUAAAGGGCUUUGAGUUGGGAAGCGGUACCAACAGAAGAAGUGACGGCUAAAUACGUGCCAGCAGCCGCGGUAAUUC
rnacentral:rRNA from 1 species